rnacentral:rRNA from 1 species
AGGACGAACGCUGGCGGCGUGCUUAACACAUGCAAGUCGAACGGUAAGGCCUUUCGGGGUACACGAGUGGCGAACGGGUGAGUAACACGUGGGUGAUCUGCCCUGCACUUUGGGAUAAGCCUGGGAAACUGGGUCUAAUACCGAAUAUGACCAUUGGUUGCAUGACUGGUGGUGGAAAGCUUUUGCGGUGUGGGAUGGGCCCGCGGCCUAUCAGCUUGUUGGUGGGGUUAAGGCCUACCAAGGCGACGACGGGUAGCCGGCCUGAGAGGGUGUCCGGCCACACUGGGACUGAGAUACGGCCCAGACUCCUACGGGAGGCAGCAGUGGGGAAUAUUGCACAAUGGGCGCAAGCCUGAUGCAGCGACGCCGCGUGAGGGACGACGGCCUUCGGGUUGUAAACCUCUUUCAGUAGGACGAAGCGCAAGUGACGGUACCUACGAGAAGAAGGACCGGACCAACUACGCGCCAGCAGCCGC